UACGUAGGGUGCGAGCGUUGCCCGGAUUUAUUGGGCGUAAAGGGCGCGUAGGCGGCCACGCACGUCCGUUGUGAAAUCGCCCGGCUCAACUGGGCGGGGUCAGCGGAUACGGUGUGGCUCGAGCAAGCUAGGGGGCAAUGGAAUUCCCGGUGUAGUGGUGGAAUGCGUAGAUAUCGGAAGGAACACCAGUGGCGAAAGCGGCUUCCUGGUCCAGCACCGACGUUCAGGCACGAAAGCGUGGGGAGCAAACAGG
rnacentral:rRNA from 1 species